GAAUUAUAUAUCAGCACAACUGUUUUUAAAAAGUAAAAAGAGGUAAAAUUAAUUUUACCAAUAUUUUAUUUAAAUCAAAAUAUGCAAAAUAGUAUCAUUUAAAGAUGUCAUCAAUGUAAAAUAUUCUUAAUGAGAUGCUUCACGUUCGUUUUUGGUACCAGAUUCUUGAAACCUGGUGUGUAUUUUACAGGUACACAUCACCUUGGACUAGCCAUGGAUCAACUGCUCAGGAGCCACAUUUGCUCAGCGGCUUCCUCAUGAAGGUGCAAAUCUAGGCAGUUCAUAGCCUAGCAUCUCUCUGUCUUCCUUCUCUCCUUCCUUCACAAACUCAAACAGGUCUAGGUUCAGAUCAUAUUUUUGCCACUUAUCAGGAGUAUAACUUUGAGUCUGUUAGUUAAUCGUUCUAGAUGAGUUUUCCUUCCUGUGAAAUGGGCACAAUUAAAGAGGGAUCUUGGUCAGGGUGAAUCAAGAGAAUCACUGUAAAGGUAGAAUGGUGCUUGGCGUGUAGUGUUUAAUCAGUGUUACUUCUUAUCAUUUCUUGAUCCCACGGGACAGGACAGCCUGUGUACUCAGAUGGGAAAGACUUGGAGCCAGAGAACCUGAGCUCAAACCCUGGUCCUGUCACGCUCAAGCUGGCUUGUGGAGGAGCCUGCAUUCCUGCACACCCACCGCCCCUUCGGAGGGAGUCUACUCUGAGUUACCCCACUUGCACCUUAGGACCCAGGAUAUGCUUAUUGGACAGGAGACAAUGUCCAGGCUGGCUAGAGGACUGUGAGGUGGCCCGGUGAGAAAUUCAACCCACAGGGAGACUGGGCACCAACUGAUCCGAAUUGUUCUUUUGCAGAAUUCCUUUGCAGAAUUUGAGACAUGGCGAAAGGAUUAGUGUCAGUAUUGGGGGCGGAAGCAGAGAGACACACAGAAGGAGAAUUCUAAUAGAAGCCUUGAGUCAACAUUGGCCAUGGGUGAGUAGGAGGCAUGAAUUCACAGAAAUUAUGAGUCAGCAGAAACGGAUAGAGCAUGGAGUGGGGGUAGCAGAGGAAGAAGCCAAGACCCAGAGACGCUGAGUCACCGCGAUGGCGGUACCCAGGGUACCGAGCGAGGAGGCCCCCUGAGUGGGGCGCCUGAGAGUGCUCCCACUGAGUUACAGAGCUGCUGUGGGGCGGCUGGAGUUACUGCUGUAACCCGAAACUCGUCCAGCCUCUGGGAGCCCUGGUUGGGUGGCUAAAACUUUGGUCUUCCUAAUCUCCUAAUGAACUCGAGGUUGUUUCUCUUCCUUGCAACCUGCAAGAACCUGACCUGUACACCAGCCAUGUCCAAACUCCUCUGAGACUCAGUUGCCUCCCCUGGGAAAUGGGGACAGCUGUUGCUUUGGGUUGUUCAGCAUGUCUUGCUGGGGUGAUGACUUUUGUCUGACACUUCGCAGUUCUGGGCCUGCCAGUCAUGGGAGCACCCCCCGACAAGGUGGCCGUGUAAUCCAGGCUGGCCCUGUCAGACUCUCCAGGGCAGAGAUUUGCUUCGGAAGCAGAGACACCUCUGGAGCAGGGUUGGAACCCCCGAGAUUGUUCCUGGGUUCCUCUGGCUGGGAUCUUCUGAGCCAUCCUGGUUCCUGUUUUCCAAGGCCUGUUUAUUCGGGAGUUUCCCAAUUGCCUUGACAGAUCCCCUAUUCCUGUUUGAGCAAUAACGUAGACUGGACCCACACUGUGCAAGGUUGCUCUGAAGUGAAAUAAGUGACUCCUAGACAGGCCCUCCUGUCUGUUGUUCCCUCCCUGUGCUCUCGCUCCACCUGACACGUCUCCAAUGCUUACCUAACAUCUCUGGGCUCAGUGUCCCCGAAGUAGCCCAGUGUUUUCCCCCUUUGAGAGAAGACGCUAAGCCUAAACCAGCCCCCAGUGUGCCGUGGGCUUUGCCUAGUCCUUGCCAGGUGCCUCUUCCUCACGCUUCAGCUUCUCUUCUGCAUAAUGUGAGAAUAGGGGGUGACUGGGAUCCACGUCAAAUGAGGGCUCCUCUCUGCAGUACCACAGCACUCCCUGUAGGCGGCAGCAUAUGACCACAAAUGUCCUGGAGUGUCGGUCCAGAGCUCAAGACGAGACUGAAGAGAGGUCUUGGCCAGACGCUGCGGAAGAGCGUUUGUUAGCGUGAGGAGCGGAGGGUGCGGGAGGGAGCGGGAAGGAAGGUGGGCGUGUCGCUGGCCUUGAGGCAAAAAGAGACUGGGUCUGAGGUUUGGAAGACGGAAGUGGUGGUAUACCCAAUCCCUCCACCCAUCUGUCCAGCCAGCAAAUAUUUUUGAGCACCUGCACGGGGCUCUGGGGAUGCUUCAGUGAACAAGACGGACGCAGACAGUCCCGGUCCUCACUGAGCUGGUACCUGAACUUAGAACCAUCGUUUUUUCCCAACAGCCAUUAUGGGGCACACCCCUUCGCCUUCUGGGCUGGUUUCCCCCACUGCAAGAUGGGAUAAUGAACUGCGUCCCUCACAGGUCUGUGGAGAGGCUUAGGUGCUGGCACCCGCUCUGCGCCUCUUCCCUUCCCUCAGCCCCACCCCUCCCUUCUCAGGAGCUGAAAACGCCGCUGAGCCCUGCGGUCAUGGUGGGGGGGGGGGCGUCCACCCUCCCGCAGAGUCUGGUUAAGGCCUAAACUUGAAGGGAUCCUCCAGGCCUGUGGAGACCUUCUAAACCUCGGAGUUUUGAAUUUGAUGAUUUGUAUCUAUUCCAGGUUCCAGCAAAAAAAGUGUUUCUAAGGAAACAAGUUGGAGACGAUUUUUACUGAUGAUAUACAUAUACAUGUGUACAUACCCAUACAAAUCUACAUACACUGAUAUGUAUCAUGUACACAUAUGUACACACAGACACACUGAUAUAUAUCAUGUACACACAUAUGUGCACACAGAUACACUGAUAUAUAUCAUGUACACACGUAUGUACACACAGACACACUGAUAUAUAUCAUGUACACACGUAUGUGCACACAGAUACACUGAUAUAUAUCAUGUACACACGUGUGCACACAGACACACUGAUAUAUAUCAUGUACACACGUAUGCACACACAGACACACUGAUAUAUAUCAUGUACACACAUAUGCACACACAGAUACACUGAUAUAUAUCAUGUACACACAUAUGUGCACACAGACACACUGAUAUGUAUCAUGUACACACGUAUGCACACACAGAUACACUGAUACAUAUAUACACACUGCUUUAGAUACUAUGCAUACAUAUACACACAUCAUAUAUGGUGAUAUUUAUACACACAUAUAUGUGUACACACAUGUGUAUACAUAGAUAUAUAUCAUGCAGACACAUAUACACAUGCACGUACUGGUAUGUAUCGUAUGCACACGUAUAUACACACACUGAUAUAUAUCAUACAUGCACACUGAUAUAGAUCAUAGAUGCUCAUAUUCAUAUAUAUACAUACAUGUUUAUAUAUGUGUACACAUUGCAGGCACACAUAUACACAUACUGAUAUGUAGCAUGUAUACACACUGCUGUAUAGCAUACAUGCGGAUACACGUAUACAUUGUGUAUACAUACACACUAAUAUAUCAGAUAUACUGAUAUGCAGAAACAUGCACAUGCAUAUUCCCGCUGAUAUGUAUCAUGUAUACACACAUACACAUGAGAAUAACUGGAACUACCUUUUUUAAGUCAAGAUUGCUUUUAUCUUUCUAGCUGAUUGUAGAGACCUUUGGGCCUGCAGGAAUGCCUCUAUUACUAGCAUUUCUAAUAUUAUUACCCUGUUUCUAGUAUUAUUAUUCCCUGCCCCGUCCCUUCUUAGUGUAGACAGAUGUCAUCUGGGGGCCUUUUUGUGCCUUGUGAUCUGAAUAAAAUCCCCCAAAUGUCCCUUCUUCCGCCCCCGCCUCUGCCCCGUGUCUGAGGAGGUCUCAAAGUUAGGCUUUCUGCUAACUCCCAGCUUUCUCUGCCUCAGGGGCUCUUUCUUGGUGGGAUGCCUCUGACCUGCAGCGUAUCAUAUUCUUCGUUGUUUAAAAACAUUUUUUUUUUUAACAGCAAUAACAACCACAAGAAAUUAUUGACACACUUCAUACCAGGCCUCUGUGAGUUUGGCAGACCCUUGGGAGGCUUUGGGAGGCGUCCUGAAAGGAAUGACAUCUGAGAGCCCUGGCUGGUCAUCCCCCUGUUGCUCUGCCCCCAUCUCUCACCUCCUCUCCUUGUUUGCUGACUUGCACCAGGUGCACCAUGUCCUUCUCUGUCCUUUAGGCCUGCCCUAUCGCUGCAGGACUCAGGCCUCUUUGAAGUUGGGGUGCCAGCUGGCAGCAACCCCCCUGAAAAUUCGUGUGGGGUGAUUACAUGCACAGGCUCUGAGGUCAGAUGUUUGACCUGAGAAAGUGGGAAAAGUGGAAAAAGGACAGCCUGGGGGAAGAAAACCAUCAAGAGCUGGCUGUGACCACUUGAGUUUGUGAUGCCAAAGUAAACAUCC
rnacentral:lncRNA from 1 species